CUCCUACGGGAGGCAGCAGUGGGGAAUAUUGCACAAUGGGCGCAAGCCUGAUGCAGCGACGCCGCGUGAGGGAUGAAGGCCUUCGGGUUGUAAACCUCUUUCAGUAGGGAAGAAGCUGGUCCUUUGGGGUUGGUGACGGUUCCUGCAGAAGAAGCGCCGGCUAACUACGUGCCAGCAGCCGCGGUAAUACGUAGGGCGCAAGCGUUACCCGGAAUUAUUGGGCGUAAAGAGCUCGUAGGCGGUUUGUCGCGUCUGCCGUGAAAGUCCGGGGCUUAACUCCGGAUCUGCGGUGGGUACGGGCAGACUAGAGUGCAGUAGGGGAGACUGGAAUUCCUGGUGUAGCGGUGAAAUGCGCAGAUAUCAGGAGGAACACCGAUGGCGAAGGCAGGUCUCUGGGCUGUAACUGACGCUGAGGAGCGAAAGCAUGGGGAGCGAACAGGAUUAGAUACCCUGGGAGUCCAUGCCGUAAACGUUGGGCACUAGGUGUGGGGGACAUUCCACGGUUUUCCGCGCCGGAGCUAACGCAUUAAGGGCCCGCCUGGGGAGUACGGGCCGCAAGGCUAAAACUCAAAGGAAUUGACGGGGGCUCGCACAAGCGGCGGACAUGCGGAUUAAUUCGAUGCACGCGAAGAAACUUAACAAGGGUUGACAUGAACCGGAAUGAUCCAGAGAUGUGUCAGCCACUUGUGGCCGGUUUACAGGUGGUGCAUGGUUGUCGUCAGCUCGUGUCGUGAGAUGUUGGGUUAAGUCCCGCAACGAGCGCAACCCUUUUCCUUAUUUGCCAGCGGGUUAAGCCGGGAACUUUAAGGAUACUGCCAGUGAGAAACUGGAGGAAGGCGGGGACGACGUCAAGUCAUCAUGGCCCUUACGACCAGGGCUACACACGUGCUACAAUGGUCGGUACAAAGGGUUGCUACCUCGCGAGAGGAUGCUAAUCCCAAAAAGCCGGUCUCAGUUCGGAUUGAGGUCUGCAACUCGACCUCAUGAAGUUGGAGUCGCUAGUAAUCGCAGAUCAGCAACGCUGCGGUGAAUACGUUCCCGGGCCUUGUACACACCGCCG
rnacentral:rRNA from 1 species